rnacentral:rRNA from 1 species
UACGAAGGGGGCUAGCGUUGCUCGGAAUCACUGGGCGUAAAGCGCACGUAGGCGGCUUUUUAAGUCAGGGGUGAAAUCCUGGAGCUCAACUCCAGAACUGCCUUUGAUACUGAGAAGCUUGAGUCCGGAAGAGGUGAGUGGAACUGCGAGUGUAGAGGUGAAAUUCGUAGAUAUUCGCAAGAACACCAGUGGCGAAGGCGGCUCACUGGCCCGGUACUGACGCUGAGGUGCGAAAGCGUGGGGAGCAAACAGG